UGGCAGUACAUAUUAUUAUACUAAAAUUGGAACGAUACAGAGUAGAUUAGCAUGGCCCCUGCUGCGCAAGGAUGACAUGCAAAAUCGUGAAGCGUUCCGCAUUUUA